rnacentral:rRNA from 1 species
CCCGCACAAGCGGUGGAGUAUGUGGUUUAAUUCGAUGCAACGCGAAGAACCUUACCUGGUCUUGACAUCCCGGAGACCCUUAGGAAACUAGGGGGUGCUUCCAUCUGGAAGAAUCUGGAGACAGGUGCUGCAUGGCUGUCGUCAGCUCGUGUCGUGAGAUGUUGGGUUAAGUCCCGCAACGAGCGCAACCCUUGCCUUUAGUUGCCAGCAGUUCGGCUGGGCACUCUAAAGGGACUGCCGGUGUUAAACCGGAGGAAGGUGGGGAUGACGUCAAGUCCUCAUGGCCUUUAUGACCAGGGCUACACACGUCUAAACAAUGGCCGAUACAAAGGGCAGCGACACUGCGAGGUGAAGCCAAUCCCGUAAAAUCGGUCUCAGUCCGGAUUGGAGUCUGCAACUCGACUCCAUGAAGUUGGAAUCGCUAGUAAUCGUGGAUCAGCAUGCCACGGUGAAUACGUUCCCGGGCCUU